rnacentral:antisense_RNA from 1 species
CUUCAUGGUGGGCCGUGUGGGGACGCCUGCAAGGGCGUGCCGGUUCCGUUUGCCGGUCUGUCAACCCUACAUGGUCUGCCACCCAA